AUUCAUUUUGAGCUGAAACCCAGUCAGCCGGGGGGAUGCUUUCCAAACACCACCGUUCGGAUCCCCAUUCGCGCCCCCCCCCCCCCAGCUUCCUCUCCCAAGCCCGCGGCCUCAGGAUCAGCUGCGGGUCACCGGUUCGGAGGAGGUCCUCGGGGUGCCCGCAGCCGGGGAGGUGCCUCGAGCAGACCCCCUCCGCGGGGCGGCUCAGCUGCGCCCGAAGCCCGUGAAGUCAGAUCUCGGCCGGCCGCCUUCCGGUCGCGUCUCCGGCCAUCCCCGGCCAUCCCCGGCCAUCUCAGGCCAUCUCCCGGCCAUCCCCUGGCCAUCCCCUGGCCAUCUCCCGGCCAUCCCUGGCCAUCCUGGGCCAUCCCCGGCCAUCCCCUGGCCAUCCCCGGCCAUCCCCGGCCAUCCCCCGGCCAUCCCCCAGCCAUCUCUGGCCGUCCCCGGCCAUCUCCGGCCAAUCCUGGCCAUCUCCCACCAUCUCCGGGCCAUCUCCCGGCCAUCUCCAGGCCAUCUCCAGCCAUCCCCCAGCCAUCCCCCGGCCAUCUCCGGGCCAUCUCCGGGCCAUCCCCGGCCAUCUCCGGCCAUCUCCGGGCCAUCCCCGGCCAUCUCCCAGCCAUCCCCGGCCAUCUCCGGCCAUCUCCGGGCCAUCCCCCAGCCAUCCCCCGGCCAUCUCCGGGCCAUCUCCGGGCCAUCCCCGGCCAUCUCCGGGCCAUCUCCGGGCCAUCUCCCAGCCAUCCCCGGCCAUCUCCGGGCCAUCCCCCAGCCAUCCCCCGGCCAUCUCCGGGCCAUCCCCGGCCAUCUCCAGGCCAUCCCCGGCCAUCUCCUGGCCACCCCCAGCCAUCCCCCGGCCGUCCACGUGCAAGAUGCGGCCCGUCCCGGGAACCGCAGGGAAGGAGGAGGAAGCCACCGAGCAGACCCCGCCUGCUUAGUCGCCUCCAGCAGGAGGACGCAAGGAGGCCACCAACACGGGCCCUUUGUUCUAAGGAGGCGGUUCUUCGUCGUGAGCACAGAUCUCUACAGCCCUGUGCCAGCGCAGUCCCUCCAGCAGGCCUAAGGAAGGAGCCAACCGGGAGGCCCCGUCCGCCCCCCAGCUGGGUGAAAGCGCAUCUCCUCGAUAAAUUCAGGAGGGAGAACGGAUAG
rnacentral:lncRNA from 12 species